GGGUCGUUAGCUCAGUUUGGUAGAGCAGUUUGAACUUUUAAUCAAUUGGUCGCAGGUUCGAAUCCUGCACGACCCACCA
rnacentral:tRNA from 1 species